rnacentral:sRNA from 1 species
AGAAAAGUAACCGCCGCCCCGCGCAGGGGCGACGCUAAUAGACCGACACGCCCCCAGGUGCUUCACGCCAACAAACCGCGCACCACCAAACGACCC